rnacentral:rRNA from 1 species
AUUGAACGCUGGCGGCAUGCUUUACACAUGCCAGUCGAACGGUAACAGCACUUCGGUGGCUGACGAGUGGCGCACGGGUGAGUAAUACAUCGGAACGUGCCUAGUAGUGGGGGAUAACUACUCGAAAGAGUAGCUAAUACCGCAUGAGAUCUAAGGAUGAAAGCAGGGGACCUUCGGGCCUUGCGCUACUAGAGCGGCUGAUGGCAGAUUAGGUAGUUGGUGGGAUAAAAGCUUACCAAGCCGACGAUCUGUAGCUGGUCUGAGAGGACGACCAGCCACACUGGGACUGAGACACGGCCCAGACUCCUACGGGAGGCAGCAGUGGGGAAUUUUGGACAAUGGGCGCAAGCCUGAUCCAGCAAUGCCGCGUGCAGGAUGGAGGCCUUCGGGUUGUAAACUGCUUUUGUACGGAACGAAAAGCCCUCUUCUAAUACAGGAGGGUCAUGACGGUACCGUAAGAAUAAGCACCGGCUAACUACGUG